rnacentral:rRNA from 1 species
AACGAACGCUGGCGGAAUGCUUUACACAUGCAAGUCGAGCGGCAGCGCGGGGGCAACCCUGGCGGCGAGCGGCGAACGGGUGAGUAACAUAUCGGAACGUACCCAGUCGUGGGGGAUAACUAUCCGAAAGGAUAGCUAAUACCGCAUACGUCCUGAGGGAGAAAGCGGGGGAUCGCAAGACCUCGCGCGAUUGGAGCGGCCGAUAUCGGAUUAGCUAGUUGGUGGGGUAAAGGCUCACCAAGGCGACGAUCCGUAGCGGGUCUGAGAGGACGACCCGCCACACUGGAACUGAGACACGGUCCAGACUCCUACGGGAGGCAGCAGUGGGGAAUUUUGGACAAUGGGCGAAAGCCUGAUCCAGCCAUUCCGCGUGAGUGAAGAAGGCC